UUCCAUUGGGAGAUCACAACCUUAACUAAUACCCUAUACUUCAUAAAUACCAAGUAUUUCAUUUCGCUACCUGCCAAAUGAAGAGAGCAUCCCAAAGAUCUUCAUUCUGACCAAAUCUGCACCCUCCAACAUGAUGCAUGCAGUACCCUAGAUUCUUGGGCUUCAAGGGUUCCAUGCCAGCAGCCACCAGUGAGGAAGCAGGGCUGCAGCACUGGUAGCUUCUGUGCACAUGCUCAAAAACAGAAACAAAAGACUGGUGCUUUAAUGCUGUCUCAGGAAGUUAACUGCCUGCACCAGUAACCUCCGGAACAAGAGCAACAACUGCGUGUUUUAAGUAGUUCAGCAGAACAGGGAAUACCUUCAAUGUCCAGAAAACAUGUCCUGCCUAAAUUCACGUACCUGAGGUGGCUCACCAGGAAUAACACGCAGCAAGAAAGCAGAAUUUACAAGCUCAGUCCAUCUGCAGCAUUAAACACGAUACUGCACACCCAGCCUCACUACACUGCAACCACCACAACACUGAAUUAAAGGCAGGUGAAUACAG